AAGUAAUGCGUCGCUAUGGAAACGGGACCACGGCAAAUUCCAUCCCUCGUCUCUCUACGACUGCUGUGUCGACCGCAACAGGAGAUUAAUGACAGCGUCAGCGAGGGAAGCAGGAAAUGAAGAUGCGGACAGCAAAUCCGGCAUCCCACCGAGCAAUGCUAGCGAGGUAUCUAUGACAACGGCCACGCAGCAUCCACGCACGAUGGCGGCUGUGAUGGACAUCCGCAUCCUGUCGGCGCAUCUCUCGUCGUACUGCGCGCAGCGCACUUGAAGGCGUCGUGAUUGACGUGGCCAACGGCAAAAUGGAAAUAUAGGCUGCGAAUCUGCAAGUGCCUGGGUGUCAUGGGAAACAGUAGACGCCGCUCGCUGUGUUUGUAGCAGAAUGACAACUGUCUGACUCCUCGCGCUGUCUCGCACCCCCCUCUCAUCUUACUUUCACCCGCCAUCGCUUCUUUUUUCUAAUAUGCGCGUCUCUCUCUCUCUCUCUCUCGCUCUCUCUCUUUCUUUCUCUCUCUUUUUUUAUUCACUCGUCUCACACUCUCUAUUUUUCACUUUUUCGCUUAUUCCUGAUAUUAAAUAAUAUUCAUAAUGAAUAGAUAGAUAGAUAGAUAGAUAUCUAUAGAUAGAUAAAUAGAUA